AGUCAUGAUCAGGUCAUACUGGAGUAAGGUGAGCCUUUUACCUAACAGGACUGGUGUCCUUAUAAAAGACACAGAGACAGAGACACACAGGGAGUAUACCAUUUGAUAACAGAGGAAGAGAAUGGAGUAAUGCAGCUACAAGCGAAAGUACACCAAUGAUUGCUGGCUCCCACUAGAAGCUAGGAAGAGGCAGGAAGGAUUCUAUCCAGAGUCUCAGAAGAAGCAAGGCCCCACUGACAUCUUGAUUUCUGACUUCCAGACUCCAGAAAGCGAGAAAAUAUAUCUGUUGUUUUAAGCUAUCCAGUGUGAGGUACUUGGUUAUGGCAGCUUCAGAAAACUAAUAUAACGGCAAUUUCAAUUUCUACUUUAUCUUCCUAGCCCCAAGAGUACCAUGUGGAUAUUAGAGUACAGGAUUAUGUAGGCUCUCAAAUCCCUUCCAUGGUAAAACAAUGUUUGGGCUUCCAGCAGUGGCCAAGAAUUGCCAGACGCUUAUGAGCGCCUGCUGCGAGAUGCUUGUACAGUGAAUGCUCAAUAAAGUGGUGGCCAUUAUAACCGCAAGCAAUGAGGCUACAUAAAUAGUAAGAAACGAAAUACAACAAGGGGCAGCGGGAGCAAAGAGAGAAACAAGGGCAGCUGAGGAAGGAAGCCUCAAUUCCCCGGAGGACAUCCGCGGGCGGAGGAAAUGUGAAUCUGCAAGUCGUUCUCCCAGACCCCGCUGAACGAUUCCCGGCCCUUUCUCCACUCCCUACAGCCCUCGGACCCAGCAACAACCGGAUCCUGUGCAGGUCUUCCCUGAGUCCAACGCGAUUCUCCUGGAUAACGUCAACCAGCUGAGCGAUUCUGAGCCUGCGCGAAGCUCCUCGGCGCUUCCAGUAAUGUCACGCUGGUGCGUGGGGCGGGACUUCCUCUCACGCGCAGGAAACGAGAAGGGCUUUUCCGCCGGAAAGAGAGUGGAUUUACUAGGAAGGUGGGACGUUGGAGGGGCGGCCGCAUGGCGUGAUUACUGUCUCUGGCCACCGAGCAGAGCCAGUGACAGCAGCGUUCUGGUAGGCAGGCAGGCGUAUCAGGUUUCAGAGGAUGCGGCUGGGAACGGGAGUAGAGGUGAGGGGUCGUUGCAUCUGUCGCGGUGUGUAUCUUUUGGGGGUUCAGCGCCACCAGCGACUUGGGCCUCAUUCAUCGCGCUUACAAUUCUCCACCUCAUUUGAAGAACAAGCUUCGUAGCCCACGGAGCUGAGGUAUAUGAGCUCCCUGAAAGCACAAAGCAGUUAUUUCCAUCUUCAGAUCAUUCAGAGAUUAUGAAGGCACAAACCCUGCCUUCAAUUUGCUUAUAGUCAAGUGGAGCAGACACAAGUAAAUGAUUGCAGUAUAGCCACUUAAGUAAUCUAAAAGAGGUGGGGAGGCCACAGCUUGUAUGAAUGACUUUCUCAGGAGUUAUAAAGUGAUACAGACUUAUCAGCAGGUUGCAGGUGAACAUGGCCUUGAGGUAAAUCUGUCCCUUGCUGAAUACAGUUUCAGUAGAUUGUUUAUAGUAGUUUCAGGAAUUGAGAUUUUUUACAAAAAUACAAAAGUUUUGCUUGGUUCUGUUCUAGAUGUUUUCUUCUAAAUAAAUGAGAAAGAUGUUUCAACAAAGGCUCUUUAUGCUGAAUAAUUGUGAUGCUUGAAGUUGCUAAUCUGCUUUAAGUGGAUUUUAAAUGUCAGGCAAUUCUAGACAGUUUUUUCUUGGUCAAAUAAAAAUUUAAUUAAAACUUUA